AUUGAACGCUGGCGGCAUGCUUUACACAUGCAAGUCGAACGGUAACAGGCCGCAAGGUGCUGACGAGUGGCGAACGGGUGAGUAAUGCAUCGGAACGUGCCCAGUCGUGGGGGAUAACUACUCGAAAGAGUAGCUAAUACCGCAUACGAUCUAUGGAUGAAAGCGGGGGACCGUAAGGCCUCGCGCGUUUGGAGCGGCCGAUGUCAGAUUAGGUAGUUGGUGGGGUAAAGGCUCACCAAGCCAACGAUCUGUAGCUGGUCUGAGAGGACGACCAGCCACACUGGGACUGAGACACGGCCCAGACGCCUACGGGAGGCAGCAGUGGGGAAUUUUGGACAAUGGGCGCAAGCCUGAUCCAGCAAUGCCGCGUGCAGGAAGAAGGCCUUCGGGUUGUAAACUGCUUUUGUACGGAACGAAACGGCUCUGGUUAAUACCCGGGGCUAAUGACGGUACCGUAAGAAUAAGCACCGGCUAACUACGU
rnacentral:rRNA from 1 species